CUGAAAUCCAGUUUCACCAGGACAGGUGGGCGAGC
rnacentral:sRNA from 1 species